UUCCAUGAUCAUCGAUGGGGGAAGUUGCACUAAUGUGGCUAGCACACACGUAGUGGAAAAGCUCAAGCUACCCACUAUUGCGCAUACCUAAUUGUCUCAUUUAUCAUAAAGAGGUCCUUCAAGAUAGAAAAGAGGAUAGAGAAACAAAAGAAAGGAUAGAAAGAGAGGAGAGAGCAAAAGAAGAAAAUGAGAGGAAAGAAAAUGAGGAGAAAGAAACAAAAGAAAAAGAAGAAAUUCUGAGAGAAAAGGAGAAGGCAAAUGUCCUAGUCAUAAAGGAGGUGUUACUAUAGGCACCUUCCACUCCCAUCUUUCUAUAGGAUUCAAGCCAUGACAGGGGAGUUUUAUCAUCCUUCCACUUUUCUCCAAAUAUUAAGCUUUCUUCUUUUUCUAAAAGCUUUUGUGAAAAUAUCCCACCUUUCUCAUCUCUUUUUACUACUUCUUCACACACCAUUUCCAUCCCAC
rnacentral:lncRNA from 1 species